GUCCCCACCACCUCUGAGAUCAGUAUCCGUCGGUAACCUGAGGAGGAGAGAGAUCGAUAGGGUUAGGUUAGGUUAGGUUUGGGUUUGUGUGUGAGUGUGAGUAGAGAGAUCGAUAGGGUUAGGUUAAGUUAGGUUAGGGUUUGUGUGUGAGUGUGAGUAGAGAGAUCGAUAGGGUUAGGUUAGGUUAGGUUUGGGUUUGUGUGUGAGUGUGAGUAGAGAGAUCGAUAAGGUUAGGUUAGGUUAGGUUAGGGUUUGUGUGUGAGUGUGAGUAGAGAGAUCGAUAGGGUUAGGUUAGGUUAGGUUAGGGUUUGUGUGUGAGUGUGAGUAGAGAGAUCGAUAGGGUUAGGUUAGGUUAGGUUUGGGUUUGUGUGUGAGUGUGAGUAGAGAGAUCGAUAGGGUUAGGUUAGGUUUGGGUUUGUGUGUGAGUGUGAGUAGAGAGAUCGAUAGGGUUAGGUUAGGUUAGGUUUGGGUUUGUGUGUGUGAGUAUUGUCGAGGGAAGGGAGAAUGAGAAGGGACAGCUUGAUGAGGAGGGACGAAUGGAUAGGAAAGACAAUGAACAUGAAAUAGAUUGAAAAGAAAAUAAUUAUAUCAGGGUUUGUUUGUGAAUGUGUGUUCUUAUGUUCUUACGAAGGAAGAAAGAGAAGGGACAGCUAGAUGAGGAGGAACGAAUGGAUAGGAAAGACAUUGAACAGGAAAGAAAUUGAAAAGAAAAUAUAUCAGGGUUUGUGUGUGUGUGUGUGUGUGUGUGUGUGUGUGUGUGUGUGUGUGUGUGUGUGUGUGUGUGUGUGUGUGUUGUCCGAGUUCCUAGGCCUGACGGAGGAAGAGGGGGAGGACGAGGAGGAGGAACGGCUAGAUAAGGAAGGAAUGGAUAGGAGAGACACUGAAGAGGAAAGAAUGUGAAACGAAAAUAUAUCAGGGUUUGUGUGUGUGUGUGUGUGUG